AAUUGGGAAGUCAGAGGAGAUUGAAGAAAAGAAAAGGACGAAAGGACGAGUUCAAAGGAUUAAAAAAAAAGAGUGGAUCAAGAACUAUAAAUCAGGAGUCGGAUGUAGAGGUUCAAUAAGCUUACCUAUCGUAUCCAGGAAUAAGAUAUGAGUGAAGUAUUUGGUUGA